rnacentral:misc_RNA from 1 species
UACAGAGACCUCAAACGUUAUCCGGAUUCAUUGGGCGUAAAGGGUCCGCAGGUGGUUUGGUAAGUUCAUGGUUAAAUCCUGGCGCUCAACGUCAGGACCGCUAUGGAUACUGCCAAACUUGAGGCUGGGAGAGGUACACGGAACUAUCGGUGUAGUCGUAAUAAGCGCUGAUAUCGAUAGGAACACCAAAGGCGAAGGCAGUGUACUGGAACAAGCCUGACACUCAGGGACGAAAGCGUGGGUAGCGAAUGGG